GAUGAACGCUGGCGGCGUGCCUAAUACAUGCAAGUCGAGCGAACAGAUGAGGAGCUUGCUCCUCUGACGUUAGCGGCGGACGGGUGAGUAAAACGUGGAUAACCUACCUAUAAGACUGGGAUAACUUCGGGAAACCGGAGCUAAUACCGGAUAAUAUAUUGAACCGCAUGGUUCAAUAGUGAAAGACGGUUUUGCUGUCACUGAUAGAUGGAUCCGCGCCGCAUUAGCUAGUUGGUAAGGUAACGGCUUACCAAGGCAACGAUGCGUAGCCGACCUGAGAGGGUGAUCGGCCACACUGGAACUGAGACACGGUCCAGACUCCUACGGAAGGCAGCAGUAGGGAAUCUUCCGCAAUGGGCGAAAGCCUGACGGAGCAACGCCGCGUGAGUGAUGAAGGUCUUCGGAUCGGAUAACUCUGUUAUUAGGGAAGAACAAAUGUGUAAGUAACUAUGCACGUCUUGACGGUACCUAAUCAGAAAGCCACGGCUAACUACGUG
rnacentral:rRNA from 1 species